CCUACGGGUGGGAGCAGUGGGGAAUAUUGGACAAUGGGCGAAAGCCUGAUCCAGCCAUGCCGCGUGUGUGAAGAAGGCCUUCGGGUUGUAAAGCACUUUCAGUGGGGAAGAAAGCCUUGGGGCUAAUACCCUCGAGGAAGGACAUCACCCACAGAAGAAGCACCGGCUAACUCCGUGCCAGCAGCCGCGGUAAUACGGAGGGGGCGAGCGUUAAUCGGAAUUACUGGGCGUAAAGCGCGCGUAGGCGGUCUGAUAAGCCGGUUGUGAAAGCCCCGGGCUCAACCUGGGAACGGCAUCCGGAACUGUCAGGCUAGAGUGCAGGAGAGGAAGGUAGAAUUCCCGGUGUAGCGGUGAAAUGCGUAGAGAUCGGGAGGAAUACCAGUGGCGAAGGCGGCCUUCUGGACUGACACUGACGCUGAGGUGCGAAAGCGUGGGUAGCAAACAGGAUUAGAUACCCCGGUAGUC
rnacentral:rRNA from 1 species